rnacentral:rRNA from 1 species
ACGAACGCUGGCGGCGUGCUUCACACAUGCACGUCGAACGGUGAAGCCCUUCGGGGUGGAUCAGUGGCGAACGGGUGAGUAACACGUGAGCAACCUGCCCCUGGCUCUGGGACAACCACUGGAAACGGUGGCUAAUACCGGAUACGACCCGCCUCGGCAUCGAGUGUGGGUGGAAAGUUUUUCGGCUGGGGAUGGGCUCGCGGCCUAUCAGCUUGUUGGUGAGGUGAAGGCUCACCAAGGCGACGACGGGUAGCCGGCCUGAGAGGGCGACCGGCCACACUGGGACUGAGACACGGCCCAGACUCCUACGGGAGGCAGCAGUGGGGAAUAUUGCACAAUGGGCGAAAGCCUGAUGCAGCGACGCCGCGUGAGGGAUGACGGCCUUCGGGUUGUAAACCUCUUUCAGCUCCGAAGAAGCGAAAGUGACGGUAGGAGCAGAAGAAGCACCGGCUAACUACGUG